rnacentral:tRNA from 1 species
AGUUUUAUAUUCAAAUAUGAUUUCAAAUUGCAAAUUUGAAGGUAGAAUAAUUUCUUAAGACUU